CAACCAAAUGUUUAAAAUCUAUCAUUAUCUUUGUUUCAGUCUUCAUAGUUUGUUUGUGUCAUCUUGAAUGGAAUAUUUGUACCUGCACAUGCCUUUAACACUGUUUAACACUAGUGCAUUGAAAUCGACUAUUUAACCUGGCGAACUCGGUGUGAGGUAAUCGCACUGUUCUUUAUGGAAACAUAACUGUGUUUCAAAAGUACCACUGAAAAUAAAGUAGCUUUCAAGUGAGAAAAAAUGAAAUAUAAAGAAUUUGUUGUAUAUUGUGGUUAGGUAUUGGAGGUAUUGGAAAAAAUGAGUUUAUGAUGUGGAAUUUUUGGAAGAUUUCACGAAACAAUAGUUCAUAAUGUAGAAAGGACCGAAAACUGGAUGUCGGGCAGAAGGAGGAAGUGGUAACGCUGAUUCGAUCUGGAAACCUCCUUCUUGUUUUCCUUAUCGGCAUGCUCAUGGAUAAAGAUCAGGGUCUUCCACUACAUUUACAGGGUUGGCCCGGCCCCGUCUAAACCUCAGCAAUCCGAGUUGCCAAAUUUAGAGCGUUGGCAGGGCAUCUCGAAUGGGGACGGAUGUUAAUUUAUCUUAUCCUGAUGCACUAGUAUAUGGGGACGGAUGUUAAUUUAUCUUAUCCUGAUGCACUAGGGUUUCUGUUAAGAUUAAAACUACAUCUCGACCACCACUGGCACAUGGUGAACUUCCCCCCAAAUAUGUAGAGAUAUAUAAGAAAGAUACUUGUGCUCGGCUCAUCUUCCCUUCAAAAUGAUUACUAUAAUGCCAACACAAGAGAAUUGAAUGUCAUACACCGAGUAAUAACCAUUGCAGUGACUGUCAGUGUGAUAUCAAUUUACAGAGAAUGUACCUCAAAGAUCAAAGUGCUGAGUUAAUUGUUGACAAUGAAGAAUUGACAAAAUUUCAAAAGGAUUGGCCGCGUUUUUGUUGGAAGUUAAGUCCAACAGACUUCUUUUCAUCUUACCGCCAAAUAAUUGGCUUUUCAACUUCUCUGCCAAGCUCUUUAAAAGAGCUGGUUGAAUAUCAUUUUGUUGGUGGUUUUUGUGAAGCCACGAGCUAUUAUGUUUGUAUAACCAGAAUUGUAAUCAUAAUAUAAUUGAUUCCCCUUCUUUGA